UACGAAGGGGGCUAGCGUUGUUCGGAAUUAUUGGGCGUAAAGCGCACGUAGGCGGAUCUUUAAGUCAGAGGUGAAAUCCCAAGGCUCAACCUUGGAACUGCCUUUGAUACUGGGGAUCUCGAGUCCGGGAGAGGUGAGUGGAACUGCGAGUGUAGAGGUGAAAUUCGUAGAUAUUCGCAAGAACACCAGUGGCGAAGGCGGCUCACUGGCCCGGUACUGACGCUGAGGUGCGAAAGCGUGGGGAGCAAACAGG
rnacentral:rRNA from 1 species